CGGGCUGUAGCGCAGUUGGUAGCGCGCAUGGUUCGGGACCAUGAGGUCGGGGGUUCGAGCCCCCCCAGCCCGA
rnacentral:tRNA from 2 species